CCCGCACAAGCAGUGAGCAUGUGGUUUAAUUCGAAGCAACGCGAAGAACCUUACCAGGUCUUGACAUCCCGAUGCUAUUUCUAGAGAUAGAAAGUUACUUCGGUACAUCGGUGACAGGUGGUGCAUGGUUGUCGUCAGCUCGUGUCGUGAGAUGUUGGGUUAAGUCCCGCAACGAGCGCAACCCCUAUUGUUAGUUGCCAUCAUUCAGUUGGGCACUCUAGCGAGACUGCCGGUAAUAAACCGGAGGAAGGUGGGGAUGACGUCAAAUCAUCAUGCCCCUUAUGACCUGGGCUACACACGUGCUACAAUGGUUGGUACAACGAGUUGCGAGUCGGUGACGGCGAGCUAAUCUCUUAAAGCCAAUCUCAGUUCGGAUUGUAGGCUGCAACUCGCCUACAUGAAGUCGGAAUCGCUAGUAAUCGCGGAUCAGCACGCCGCGGUGAAUACGUUCCCGGGCCUU
rnacentral:rRNA from 1 species